rnacentral:rRNA from 1 species
CCUACGGGGGGCAGCAGUGAGGAAUAUUGGUCAAUGGUCGGGAGACUGAACCAGCCAAGCCGCGUGAGGGAGGAAGGUACAGAGUAUCGUAAACCUCUUUUGUCAGGGAACAAAGACUGGGACGCGUCCCCGGAUGAGUGUACCGGAAGAAAAAGCAUCGGCUAACUCCGUGCCAGCAGCCGCGGUAAUACGGAGGAGGCGAGCGUUAUCAGGAUUUAUGGGGGUAAAGGGGUGCGCAGGCGGGCUGUGAAGUGAGCGGUCAAAGCCCGCGGCUCACCCCCGUCCCGCCGUUGAAACUGGCAGUCUCGAGUUGGAGAGAAGUAUGCGGAAUGCGCGGUGUAGCGGU